ensembl:lncRNA
AUUUAAGGGCUGACUGCCACUGCGGAAGGGUCUGUGGUUGGAGAUCCCUCCUUUGUAGAGUUUCCCUGUGAGCACAGAUCUUUGGAGGCAGAUUUCUGAAGAUGAGACAGCACCACGUCCUGAGUAUUUUCCUAAGACAAUGAGCAACUAGCUUUGUAUGCUGUCCUUAGGAGGAAAGGUAAAACAACCCUUUGAAACCUGAGAAAUAUUAAAGCCUUGCUUUUUUCUUUCAAGAUUUCUUUCAAACCGUGGCUUGUGCAGGACAAGUUCCAGCUAUCUCAGAGUACCUGUUUCUAUCACAAGCAGUACUUGAAAUGGCAUAGCAGAAACAGCAGUAGGUGAAAUUUAUGGUUGUCAUUCUGAAAAUGGAGCCAGAGCAUACAAACAUUUUAAGAUUUGGAAUGACGAGAUUACAAAGACUCAGGCCCCUGGCUCUCUGGCAAGGGGCCUGAGUAACAGCAAGUUGGCGUUCAAGCUGCUGCCAAACCUGGUUUCAUUUUACUACUGUCUUCAGUUGAUCACGUGGGCUUUAUACUGCCCAGACAAGGUCCAAUUCUGUCCAGGAGGAAGAGUAAUUAUGGGCUGCCUGCUCAGCUGCUGGGGUGACCUGCAACCCAUGUCUCACAUGAGGCAGCAAAGAGUAGGACAGGGGGAGGCUCAGGGUGUUUCAAGCAGUUUCAUCUACAAGUACCAAUAUGAUUGGCUACUUUGUGAUAGGGGAAUGCAUUUGGUGUCCCCAUCCUGAGCCUCUUCAGAGGUGCUUCUGUGAUAGCACUUCUGAGUCAGAACAAUCCAGGACAGACUAUGGCCAACAAUACAGGACAAACGGGGCAUAGAUGUUUUGUUCAUUGUUUACUCAGGUUUCCCAAUCCCAGUCCUAUAAGUGCAGCCAGCAAUGGAUGUGCAACAGAUAAAAAUGAGAAGCAGUCUUGUACGUUUCCCAGCUGUUAGCAAGCAGUCAGUCCAUGCUGUCCCUGUUCUCCAAUAGUUGCUUAUGCUCACAGUGAGUGUGCUGGGAAAGGGGACAUCGUGGCACAGUAAGACAAGCAGCAAGGGUUAUGGUGGUGACUCUGCCUGCCAAAAUGGAGCUCCUGAUCAGGGGAAACAGAAUGUGCUGUGGAAGACACUGAUGCGCUGAGCAUGCCGGCACCCACACAGUGUCUUCCAAAAGUGAACUGUUGUGCAAGCCUCUGUGCGCCUCUGUUGUCAGAGAGCUGGAAGACGCCUCUUAUCUCAUGGAAAAGCCCAUAACACCAGGAAGUGAAGACAAAUUCAGACCAGAAUGAUGUUGGCUUGAAAUGCAAGUUCUUUCAUUCCCCAGAAUAGCAUAGCUUCAGGCUAUCAGCUUGCUAGUGGGAAAAACAGAGUGAUUUAAAAUGUGUUAUAUAAACCCAAAAAUAUAAACAAAUUGAGAUAACUUCUGUUUUCCUUGGUAUCUGUUCAUUAUUAAGUAGACAGCAAAUUUCUUUCCUUCCAUUAUUUUUCCCAAUAACCUAAGUAAACACACUUCUGACAGUACUUAUAAUAAUACAUGUGCAUAAGCUCUGGCGUCAAUAAUUUAAGCAACCUUUAUAAAACAUAAUAAAAAAAUUACAGAGUAAGGAAAUGUCUAUCUUUUCCUUUUUUUUCUUGGUGACUAGAAAUCAUUAUGUUUGUAUGGUGCAGUUAAAUUUCACUUUAAAAUUUCAUAGUACUGUAGUGAAGAAUCUGGAGAACCAAUUAAAUUUUUUUUAUAU